CCAUGGGGGGAAUAGCUCCAGUGGCUUCCUGGGGGAGCCAGGGGCGUUCCCAAGAUUGCAAUGGGGUCAGCAGCUGACUGGGUACCACCCUGCGGAUGCUGGCUUCAUUGUAAUUGCAGUUUCCCUUUCUAGGAAGAAAACAGAUGCAUUUCCUUGUCAGUCCAGACAAAUGGUCUCUCCUUAAGUUCCUCUUCAUUAAUUAACAUGAAGACAAGCGUGGUGGCUAAAUUCGCAGUCAGAGGCUUUUAAAGCCUGGCGCCUCCUCGCCCUGGUCCCCAUCCUCCUCAGCCUGGCGGCCUCCCUGGACUGGCAAACUGCCCAGAGCCGCGACCCCUUCGAGAAAUGUAUGCGAGACCCCGACUAUGAGCAGCUGCUCAGAGUCCUGACCUUGGGUCUCAAUCGGACCUCGAAGCCCCAGAGGGUGACUGUGGUUGGUGCAGGCGUGGCUGGGUUGUUGGCCGCCAAGGUGCUCAGCGAUGCUGGACACAAGGUCACCAUCCUGGAGGCAGACAGCAGGAUCGGGGGCCGAAUCUUCACCUACCGGGACCGGAAGACCGGCUGGAUCGGGGAGCUGGGAGCCAUGCGCAUGCCCAGCUCGCACAGGAUCCUCCAUGCGCUCUGCAAGAGCCUGGGACUCAAUCUGACCAAAUUCACCCAGUACGACGAGAACACGUGGACGGAGGUGCACGAGGUGAAGCUGCGGAACUACGUGGUGGAGAAGAUGCCUGAGAAGCUGGGCUACAAGCUGCAUCCCAAGGAGAAGGGCCACUCGCCCGAAGAAAUCUACCAGAUGGCUCUCAACAGGGCCAUCGAAGAUCUCAGGACACUGGGCUGCAGAAAGGCAAUGAUGAAGUUUGAAAGGCACACGCUCCUGGAAUACCUCCUCGGGGAGGGGAACCUGAGCCAGCCUGCCGUUCGGCUCCUGGGAGACGUGAUGUCCAAGGACGGCUUCUUCUAUCUCAACUUCGCCGAGGCCCUGCGGGCUCACAGCUGCCUCAGCGACCGGCUCCGGUACAGCCGUAUCGCGGGCGGUUGGGACCUGUUGCCGCGCGCGCUGCUGAGCUCGCUGUCGGGGCCUGUGCUGCUGCACACGCCCGUCGUGGCGAUUAAGCAGGGGACGCACGAGGUGAGCGUGUACUUCGAGCCCUCGCGCCGGGCCCGGAAUCAGAAGUCCUUGACGGCCGACGUGGUGCUGCUGACGGUGAGCGGGCCCGCACUGCAGCGCAUCACCUUCACGCCGCCGCUGACGCUCAAGUGGCAGGAGGCGGUGCGCGCGCUGCAUUACAUGCCAGCCACCAAGGUGUUCCUGAGCUUCCGCCGGCCCUUCUGGCACGACGAGCAUAUCGAAGGCGGCCACUCGAACACCGACCGACCGUCGCGCGUGAUAUUCUAUCCGCCGCCUGGCGAGGGCGCGCUGCUGCUCGCCUCGUACACGUGGUCGGACGCGGCUGCCACGUUCGCUGGCCUGAGCCUGUCCGAAGCCCUGCGCUUGGCGCUCGACGACGUGGCGGCGCUUCACGGGCCCAUCGUGUACCGGCUCUGGGACGGCAGCGGCAUCGUCAAGCGCUGGGCGGAGGACCCGCACAGCCAGGGCGGCUUCGUGGUGCAGCCCCCGAUGCUCUGGCGAACCGACAAGGACGAGGAUCAGGAGUACGAUUGGGCGGUCCCCCACGGCCGCAUUUACUUCGCCGGCGAGCACACGGCCUACCCGCACGGCUGGGUGGAGACGGCCGUCAAGUCGGCACUGCGGGCCGCGGUCUUGAUCAACGGCCGGACCAGCAGCUGGAACGACCCCCGGACCAUCAACAGCAUGGGGCACGUGCACGUGGCGCCCGCCCACCACCACCCGCGCAGCCUCGAAAGGGGGCGGGGCACCCACUCUCCAGCCUUACAUGCCGUCACUGCUCCGCACACGACCCAAAAGAGGACCCAAUAUUAAAGUAUUUUUGGAAACAGCAGUGUGGUCCCGCCCCCUCCCUGGCUCAGUCGCUUCCCCAAUUUGCAGGAGCAAAACCAUUAGCCCUCGCGGUAGAAGGGGCUGCGCCUAUCCUGGAGCCCCAGAAGCUGUCCUACUUCUUCCUGGGCCGCGGGCUCCGUUUGGGGGAGUAGGAGGUACAGGAUGGACACUGCUUUGCGCCACCGGUAAACGUUAAUCACAGUGCCCCACAACGGCUGUCACGACACAGUGGGAACCUUAAGCAAGUAACAAAAAGCCCAGCCGACACUGGGUUAAACACGAGUUUAUUUUUCUCAUAACAAGAAGCUGGUAAGUAGGGCCCCAGAGGGAGCAGCCCCGCAGGCCCUUCCAUCUCGGUUAUGUCCGGGAUGUGCCCCUGCACCCCAUCCUCACUCCUCCAAAAGCCCCAGACUCAAGCAGGUAAGGGAGCCCUGCCUCCACAAACCGCCACCACUCACCCGCAAGGGGCCUCGUCUUAGGCCUCACUGGCCAGGUCAGGGUCACAGUGGUCAGACAUCGACUCUGCAGAGCGGUCACAGGAGACCACGAGUCACCACCCCCUCUCGAUCCAGAGCCAAGCCGGUGUGGUGGCCUCCCCGCUCCACCUACUCGAGGCCAACCAGAUAGGAAAGUGUCAGUUUCAAGAAACCAGCUAAGAGAAGGGAGGCCUGGUGGAGAGCCCCGCCCCUCUUUGCGCCUCCCCUCCCCAGCCUCCGGGAGGGGCGGGGUCGUGGGCGGGAGCUGGGUAAAGUGUCUGGUGCUGAGCAGGCCGCCUCGCCCAGCACGGUUAAGAGUCCGCACAUUCCUCCUCCUCCUCCUCCUCCUCCUCCUCCUCCGGCAGGAUUUCCAGGCUGCUGUCAGGCUGCGGGACUGUGUCCACGGGGGGCGGCGGAGCCGGUGGGGCGCGGGUGGGCGACAGCGGCAGUGGGGAGGCAGGUGGCGACGGGCUCUGGGGCUCUGCGGGGGGCGCCAGGCCUAGGAUCUCCUGCACGUUGUGGGGCAGCUCCUGGCGGGUUGGCGGGUAGGGAGAGCGAGAAGUCAGAGGUUUGCUGGGGGUUGGGGGGCUAUCGGGAGGGGUCAGGGACUCACCCGGCAGGCGGUCAGCUGCCGGUAGAGGGCCUCGGCCCGCGUCAGCACGUCCUCCACGCUCAGCUUCAUGGUCAGCUCGUUGAUGUGCUGUGGGCGGGGGUGGGUCAGGCCUGCCUGCCUGCAAGCACCCAGCCACCACCGCCCCAGCACCUACUCUGUGCCUCGUGCUGGGGUACAACUGAGGGAAGACAGACCGGGCUGGCCCUCCUGGGGCUCACAGUGGAGCUGGGGGAUCAGGAGAGGUCCUGUUCUCUCCGGCUGCUUGCCAGGUGCAGCAUUCAGGGAAGGAAAAGGGCAUGGAGCCCCACCGCCGCGGCCCCGCCCCACGUUAAUGCACUGGGGCAGGGGCAGGUGGCCCACUCAUGCAUGGGCCACAUGCUCUGUGAGGACACUGCAGGGAGCCAGGGAUAACGGGGUAGGAGACAGACAGACCCCGUCUCCUGGCUACCGUGCUCACAGCUUAGCCAAUCAUACUUUCCACAAUCCUAUUUUGAGUACCUACUACCGAAAGGUACUGUGGCACAGGGGCAGGGCCAGCCUCCACGGAGUUCACACCCAGGUGAUGUGUCUUCUCCACACAGGUCAGGAUGGGCAGGGGGAGGGAGGGGACUGGGAGGGAGCCGGGGUCUCACCUUGAGGAUCUCAUUGGACCCGAAGCCUGAAAGCAUGAGGGUGUCCCGCUCCAUGUCCAGGAUGGCGCAGGCCACCAGCAGGUGCAGAUUGGGGCCAGGGAGCCCCGUCCACAGCACCUAGCAGUGCCCAGGGGAGGGGUCACUGCAAAGCCUCUGCCUCAGGUCCCACCCAGGUCUGCCCCACACCCUGCCCACCUCCCACCAACCUCCCUGCCCCAUCCACUGGCAGUACAGCCAAUCCAUUUCUCCUCGGCCCUCCCACCCCAACUGGCUAGCUCACCUCCCACAGCCGAAGGACAUCCGGGAAGGGGAAUUCCCUCUUGAACCAGAUGAGCAGCCACCGGAAGCAGAAGCAGAGAGAGCCAGAGUCCUGGGAGUCUAGGGGAGGACAGCGGUGGGCGGGGCGGCACUCAGCUGAGAGCAAGCUCAAAAUCAACUCCAAUCCUGCUCUAAUUCACAGGGCGCCCGGUGGUCGGACUGGACUCUAAGAAGUCACCCUGGCUGUAAGAACCCGCACGAGUCUACGCAAGUGGAGGGACAGCUUCAGAGCGGGGACAGGGACGCUCAGCGCCAGCAGGAACCUUCCCAUCCUGCCUUCCGGGCUCCAGAUGAGGUGAGCUAGCCCCGUGGUCUCCGCUCUCAUGUGGAAGGGAGGCAGUAAGACCAGUCCACUCAGGGAAAAAAUCUAUUCAACAUCCAAAGCUGGGGGAGGUGUGAGGAAACUGGCCCUCGUGUACACUGCUAGCAAAAACGUAAGCUGGUAGAACUUUCUGGGAAAGCAGUGAUGAAGACAAAUGUUUCAAAAGAUGUAAAAAUGUGUACUUCACUGGAUACAAUAUCACUUCUUGGAAUUUAACCUAAAAAAAUAAUCCACGAAUAUAGAUUCAUCACGGUGAAAAACUACAAAUAACCUAAAAGUCCAGCAGGUCAGGUUAAAUCUAUUUUUAUACAUCAUUAAGAUGGACAGAACACCAUGUAGUCGAUAAGACUGAUAAUGUAGGGCUUCCCUGGUGGCUCAGUGGUUGGGAACCUGCCUGCCAAUGCAGGGGACACGCCAGGGGACACGGGUUCGAGCCCUGGUCCAGAAAGAUCCCACAUGCCGCGGAACAACUAAGCCCGUGCGCCACAACUACUGAGCCUGCACUCUAGAGCCCACAUGCCACAACUACUGAGCCUGCAUGCCACAACUACUGAAGCCCACGCACCUAGAGCCCGUGCUCUGCAACAAUAGAAGCCACCGCAAUGAGAAGCCCGCGCACCACAAUGAAGAGUAGCCCCCAGGGGCUUCCCUGGUGGCGCAGUGGUUGAGAAUCUGCCUGCCAGUGCAGGGGACACAGGUUCGAGCCCUGGUCUGGGAAGAUCCCACAUGCCGCGGAGCAACUGUACCCGUGAGCCACAGCUACUGAGCCUGCGCGUCUGGAGCCUGGGCUCCGCAACAAGAGAGGCCGCGACAGUGAGAGGCUGCGCACCGCGAUGAGUGGCCCCCGCUUGCCGCAACUACAGAAAGCUCUCGCACAGAAACGAAGACCCAACACAGCCAAAAAAUAAAUCAAUUAAUUUAAAAAAAACUGUUAAAAAAAAAAGAGUAGCCCCCAUUCGCCACAACUAGAGAAAGCCCGCGCACAGCAAUGAAGACCCAACACAGCCAAAAAUUUAAAAAUAAAUAAAUUAGCUUAUCAUCAUCUGCAUUCAAAAAAAUAGUACGAGCAACAGCAACUUUAACUUUCUUUUCUUUACGUGAAUUCCCUGCAUUUUUUAUAUUGAACAAGCAAUGCAGUCAAAUUUAAAAGCCGAAAUGCAGCAGUCCCCACCCCAGCAGCCCAGAGAACCAGUUUCCAAUCCAGGCUCAGGGGUGACUGGAGAUGAGAGCUGGUUGGAGAUGAGGAGUGUGAGGAGCUGCGCCCAGGUCCUUCGUCUGAAAAGCCUGACAGCACACGAAGGAGCCACCUCAGCAGGCAGCGGGGGCGCAUUUGGCAGGGGUAGGGGGCCCACGUCUGCAUUCGUUGAGGUUUUGCUCCAAACCACAGUCCUGCUUUUACAUAUCAAUUCUGGGUUCUGUGGGGAUGUUUCUCUUGCUUGCACCACGUCCAAACAUCCUGGACAUUGUCUGUCCACUCCCAGAGACUCUGCAGCAAGGUGUGUGGGCCCACCAUCAUCCCCUGCCUACCCGCCAAGACACGUACCCAGGAAGUCGCAGAGCGGAGGGUCCAGCACCCUCAAGAGGAGCAGGAGUUGCCCGAGUUGCCGCUUCAUCGUCUCUUGACUCUCCUCAAAGUUCCCAUGCUGUGGGAGGGAGGGCCACGUGAGGAGCCAGACCCCAGCUUUUGAGGGGGCCUGUCUCCCAGCCCUGCCGAGCCUCACCACGAGCUCCAUGAAGCCACAGAAACACCAGAAGGCAUCCACCUCGUUCUGAGUGACGUAGAGGAUCGGGGAGAGAAGGUCACUCAUGCCCUGGACGUAGCCUGUGGGGACAUGGGGUCAGGGCCCAGCCGAGGCCUGCAGCGCGCUCCCCCUGCAAGGCCAGCCCCCAGCAACUGCCCCCGGGCUGUGCCGCACCGAGGUCAAAGUGGUACAUGCAGUAGGUAAGGAGGAUGUCGUUCAGCAGGCCCAGCCCCGGGUUCUCGGGGCCCUCGUAGAACUUGUUGUUCCUAUCGGUGCGGCUCACAUCUCUCUCUGUGGGGACAGGGGGCAAAGCGCAAAGGCGUGAAAGGUGAGCCCUGUCCCUGCCGGCCGGCCGCCAGCACACCUAGGCAGGUGUGGGUCAUCCAGAGACCAUCUUGAACGCUCUCACGUGAGGUACUGUGCUUCACGCUCACCAGCUCGCCACACCCUCCCAGCAGCUGACAGUUACUAAACCAUCAACAGAUGGGGAGACUGCGGCCCAGGGAGGUAGGAUCACUUGCCAAGAUCUCACAGUGAGUAGGUGGUAGAUUUGAACCCACGGAGCCUGGCUCCCCUCCCGUGUUCCCCCAUCCCCGACCCCAGGGCCACUCACCCCUGCUCACCCCCCUCUCACUCCCCUCCAUCCCUACAGAUGGCCUUGCUCCUGCUCUUAGGGAGACAGGGGGCUCCCUCGGGCCCCUCCCAGCUGUUUCUGGUCUCACCAUCCCACCCUUGCCCCCCACCAACCAAUGAGGCUGCGGUAUCCGUGCAGCAGUGAGUUCCUCCGCUCCUGCUCCGGGCUCACAGAUUUCCACUGCAGCUUCAUUCGGAAAUACUCGUCCCUGAGGGGAGCGGAGGAGUGAGAUGUAGGGACACCCCCCGCCGCCUCAUCCUACAGGGCUCAGCCUAGCUCACCGCCCCUGUGCUUCCCCUUCCCCACAUCUCUCAUGACACACAACACCCUUGGGGUUUUUUUGUUGUUGUUCAAAGUCUGUCACCCCCAUUGGACAGAGAGCAGCAGGGGCAGGACCGGGACACACGGCAGAGGCACAAGAUAUACCAGGAACGACGAGAGGUGGCCCCAUGGGGUUAGGAAGCCCGCUGCAAAGCGGUGACCACUGAAACGGCACGGCGCCAGAAUGAAAACGGCAUCGGGGAUGGGCUCUGGGCCCUACAGGGGCGGGGCCUGGCCCACUGCCUCUGUCCCCGCUGUGCUCAGGUCGACGGCCCGUCUGUGCACGCGUAGCGCGGCGGUGCCGGGCCGCCCACUGGGAUAUGCUGUUGAUCAAAAACCUCCAGUCGACUCAGGAGGCCAGAGGCUGCAGCGCAGCAGGGCAGGAGCCACGGCGUCUCACUCACGUUUUCUUGCGCACGUGGGCCUUGUGCUCCUCGGCUGAGCCCUCCCAGCUCAGGUACCCGAGGAGGAACUUCCAGGCCUCGCGUCGCAGGCUGGGGCUCAGACCCUGGAGGGCAGAGGGCAGCUCAGACGGGCCUCCCCUUGGCUGCCCGCCGACCCUGCCCACCCACUCGGCUCCUCACCCCUGAGAAGAUGCGGGCUUUCAGCUCAGGGACCUGCUGCAGGCGGCCCUCGGGGCCCAUGCGGCGGGCCCACUCCUCCUCCGUGACCGGAGGCGCCCGCUCCACAGCCGGCCUCGGCCCUAGCUCCACCUGGGGGACACAGGACGAGUGAGCCCAGGGCCUCGGCCCAACAGCGUUCCCCAGCCCACCGUGGGCCACUCCGAGUCAGCUCAGAGCCCUUCUAAGUUGCACGGACGGACAGAACGUCUGGGGCAGGAAGCAUCUCCUUGGCUGGGUCAGUGAAAAAGUCACCCCCCAAGUCAGGAAAGCCCCCCCAGUAAUAGUAGGCACCAGGUGCACAGGCUACAAGCACCUUCCAGCAAGUCACUCAUGAAACCCGAUGAGGGCGAUGCUGUUAUCAUCCCCAUCUCACUGGGGAAACAGAGGCCCAGGGAAAUGCAGUCCCAUGCCCACGGUGACCGCCAAAGAGCAGCAGCGUCCACCCUGAUACUCACACAGGAAAUGACCUCAAACCCGGGCUCGGGUUCGUCAUCGGGGGCUGGAGGCAGGUCAGGGGAGGCCCCCUCCUGGUGCGGCUGCAGGGCUCCGCGGAAGAAGUUGGUCACACGGGAGAAGCUGCUGAAGGUGGUGGAGUAGGGGUCCUGGAAGAAGCGCUGGGGACAGGGCCGAGGGGCGGUCACCGUCCACCCUCCCUGCCUGGCCUUCACGGCCCGCCCUUCCCUGCCCACACCGGCCAGCCUGGCGCUGGGGACUCACAGACACCACGUUGGAGCUGUCCUGGUCAAACAGCUGGAGGUGGUGGAAGGAGUUGGAGAGGGCCGAGGAGUCAUGGGGGAAGACAAGUGUCCCGACUGCCCAUGAGGAAUCCCUCAUCUCAGGCCUGAGACCCCAGCUGGACCCCAGGGAUGGCACAGGCCCCAGGGCUGGUCAACGAGGGCCUUCCACCUCCCUGGCCAGGGUGACUGCCUCAGGGAUAGGCCAACGAGAAGCAGCCCCAAGAUGCUGCUGGAAUGUGGGAAAGAGGUGCUUUCUACCCACCGGGGCCCCCAGAGAAUGACAGCAAACGCAGAAAGAAAAAGAGCAACUCUUUCUGCACUCUGGGACCCGGGUCCCGCCUGAUGUCAAACUGCCCUUUGAUGUUGCAGUUACACGAGCCACUCAAGUCUCUUUUUCCUGCCUUUAAAUCAGUCUGGGUUGUAUUACUUUCACAGCCCUGAGAGAGUCAGGCUGCAUCCCUGGAGGGGUGGGGCCUGGGACAAGGCUCACCUGGCCAACAGUAGAUAACGGCUGAGGACACGGAGCAGGGCGCGGGUGCCCCCGCGGUGGAAGUGCAGGGCGGGCAGGGAGCCUCCGGCCUGCGUAACCAGAACCAGGUAUGCCCAGCUGAGGCCCGGCUUGGAACGGCGGAUGGACUUGAGCUCCCCCAGACUCGCGGAGAAGGCCCAGGAGCCCCGGGGGGAGCUGGGCUCUGCACCUAGAGGGACAGCAGCGUCGGGAGCAGGUGGGGGUCGGGAGGCGGGGGCGUGUGGAGCCAGAGGCGGCUCAGGCAUCUCCUGAGAGCCCACUGCGAGCCAGCCCCAGGCCCUCUGGGAAAGGAACCCAGUAAAACUGGAGGGAAGCCUGGGGGAUGCGUGCCUGCCCCCAAAUCUCCCCAGGCUCCCCAUGUCUGUCCCCUGCCCCCCCCCAACCCUGCCUGUCUCACCUCCAACCCUCUCUUCACUCUAGACCUCUCAAGCCACAGCAAAAAGGCUGUGGUUUCCUAAACACACCCAGUGCCCCACACCUCUGGCCUUACCCCCGCUGCUCUCUCUGCGGGGAGAGAAAACUCUCAAGCAUCCUUCAGAGCUAGGCUGUGGCACCACCCGUUCCUGGAAGACUCCUCUGCCCCCUACGGGGUUAGAUACCUCCUCUGGUGCCCCCAGCACCCUGUGCGACUCCAGGAUGGCCCGAAUUACCCUGUCACCCUGCAACCAUCACCGCCACAGCCUGGAAAUUCCAUGGGCAGGACUUACGUGGAGGUGCCCACAGCCAAUCAGGGAGCCCGGCCUGAUGAGCAAGGCUGCAAACCUCAGGGACGCUGGCCACGCUGGACCUGGGCUGGGGACCGCCCUGCACCCCCCACCCACUCACCUGGGACUGGAGGCCACUGUGGGUGGCCAUCUUGACUGUGGGCAGCACAGCCCAUGGAGCCAUGACCACUGAGGAGCGGUAACUGGGGCAGCAGUGGGGCCGAUUAGCAGCUCUGAUGGUAGUAUUCUCGAACUUGACAACUCCAAUGACAGUCCCAUUCCCUACAGCCCUGCCCUCACUGGAUCGCAGCUCCCCUGGCAGUAAAACCCUGCAUGAUUAGAAGGACUCAGACUGUGGGGUAUCUGCUGGAUAUUCCAGACUGACAAGCCACUCCCACAACAGAAGCUGAAAUAUCCCAAUAUCCACUUUCCCAGCCUUCCCUGCAUUUCUGAAUGGCCUAGGGACCCAACUCUGGCCAGUGGAAGCUGAGGGUACAUCCGCGGGGAGUCUGAAGAAGGGAAUUCCUGAUAAAAAGGCACCUACAGGAGUGAACACCCUAUUCAGGUUAGCCUCUAUGUGCUGUCAAGGGAGGACAUGGUGUUUGGAACUGUGGCAGCCAACCAGGGCCAUGAAAAGAAGACCAAGGAAUGGCAGGGACACCUGUCCACAAGCUGCCAAACCAGCCCCUGGCAAAGCCAUCUGUGCCCUCCCUGUUUUGUGACACGAAGAAUUUGAUAAUUUUGCCAGUGUUUACACAAAAUAAUGAUAAUUAGUGUGUUGUCUGUCAAAUGUUUGCAGCUCUCCACCCCUCGGGCAUACAGUAGGAUUACAGCUCAUUGAACUCUACUGGCUGAGUGGAGACAUGCAACUCGUUCUGGCCAAACGGCUGGGAUAUAUCACUUCCAAGAUGGACUGUUUAACUGCCAGGGAAAAACUUCUAGAGAUCUCUUUCCCUCUGCCACAAGGAAUGAGACCUUUAAGAUGCUGGCUGCUCUAGCAGCAUGCUUCCUUGAGUAAUCAUGAUGAGCAGAGCUCUUUUGCCAACCUGAGAUACACAUGUAGAGUGAACAAAAACAGUUAAAAAGGCUGGAGCUCCAGCAGCCCUUCUGGACCAGAAGGCAGCCUUAAGAACAGAUGCCACAUGUUGAGGAUUACAGAGCAAUGUUGGAAGGAAGCUGAGUCAUUGAUAACAUAUGAACCUAUACUGCUGACUUCUGGGCUUUGUAAAAAGAGAGAAAUGAGCUGUUACCUUGUUUAGGUCGCUGGUAUUCCUGUUUCUAUUACAUACAACCAAAUGCAACUCCUAACUGACGCAAAGCUUUCUGGAAAACCUCUUGUUUUUACUGAUAAAAAGGACAGAUAUGAUUGGUACCCUGCUGGCCCCUUUUUCCUGCCUUAAAAGGCAGAUGCAAUGGCUGCAGCUGAAGUGGUCAUUUAAACACCACUAGAGCAAGCACAGUAGGUUCUCAGCAAUCCAAGCCUUGAUGUCACUAGCCAAGGACAGCAGCCUCAUACCAUUUGGAGUCUUGUGAGGUGAAAGAAACAAACUUGUUUGCUCACUGUGUUGUCACCUCAGUUUUGUGUUCCUUGGAGCUGAAUGUAUCCUGAAUUUAUAUGUGUCCUUCCCAUUGAUGCCUGUCUCAGUGGGUUUCUGUUAUUUGAAAAUAAGAGCGCC